rnacentral:rRNA from 1 species
GACGAACUGUCCUAACGUUGUUCGGAAUCACUGGGCUUAAAGGGCGCGUAGGCGGUCCGACAAGUCAGGGGUGAAAUCCUGCAGCUUAACUGUAGAAGUGCCUUUGAUACUGUCGGUCUUGAGGGAGAUAGGGGUGUGCGGAACUCACAGUGGAGCGGUGAAAUGCGUUGAUAUUGUGAGGAACGCCGGAGGCGAAAGCGGCGCACUGGAUCUCUUCUGACGCUGAGGCGCGAAAGCUAGGGGAGCAAACGGG